UCCCGGCACGGGGAGGUAGUGACGAAAAAUAACGAUACGGGACUCAUCCGAGGCCCCGUAAUCGGAAUGAGAACACUUUAAAUCCUUUAACGAGGAUCAAUUGGAGGGCAAGUCUGGUGCCAGCAGCCGCGGUAAUUCCAGCUCCAAUAGCGUAUAUUAAAGUUGUUGCGGUUAAAAAGCUCGUAGUCGAAUUUGUGUCUUACGCCGCCGGUUCAUCGCUCGCGGUGUUAAUUGGCGUGUCGUGCGACGUCCUGCCGGUGGAUUUAGCUUCGGCUUCGGUCGAAGCGGUCCAACUUUUAAAUCCCGCCGCGGUGCUCUUCGCUGAGUGUCGAGGUGGGCCGGCACGUUUACUUUGAACAAAUUAAAGUGCUUAAAGCAGGCUAAAAUUUUGCCUGAAUAUUGUAUGCAUGGAAUAAUGAAAUAGGACCUCGGUUCUAUUUUGUUGGUUUUCGGAACCCCGAGGUAAUGAUUAAUAGGAACGGAUGGGGGCAUUCGUAUUGCGACGUUAGAGGUGAAAUUCUUGGAUCGUCGCAAGACGAACUUAAGCGAAAGCAUUUGCCAAAAACGCUUUCAUUGAUCAAGAACGAAAGUUAGAGGUUCGAAGGCGAUCAGAUACCGCCCUAGUUCUAACCAUAAACGAUGCCAGCUAGCGAUCCGCCGACGUUCCUCCGAUGACUCGGCGGGCAGCUUCCGGGAAACCAAAGCUUUUGGGUUCCGGGGGAAGUAUGGUUGCAAAGCUGAAACUUAAAGGAAUUGACGGAAGGGCACCACCAGGAGUGGAGCCUGCGGCUUAAUUUGACUCAACACGGGAAAACUCACCAGGCCCGGACACCGGAAGGAUUGACAGAUUGAGAGCUCUUUCUUGAUUCGGUGGGUGGUGGUGCAUGGCCGU
rnacentral:rRNA from 1 species